rnacentral:rRNA from 1 species
AGCGGUAGAGAGAAGCUUGCUUCUCUUGAGAGCGGCGGACGGGUGAGUAAUGCCUAGGAAUCUGCCUGGUAGUGGGGGAUAACGUUCGGAAACGGACGCUAAUACCGCAUACGUCCUACGGGAGAAAGCAGGGGACCUUCGGGCCUUGCGCUAUCAGAUGAGCCUAGGUCGGAUUAGCUAGUUGGUGAGGUAAUGGCUCACCAAGGCGACGAUCCGUAACUGGUCUGAGAGGAUGAUCAGUCACACUGGAACUGAGACACGGUCCAGACUCCUACGGGAGGCAGCAGUGGGGAAUAUUGGACAAUGGGCGAAAGCCUGAUCCAGCCAUGCCGCGUGUGUGAAGAAGGUCUUCGGAUUGUAAAGCACUUUAAGUUGGGAGGAAGGGCAGUUACCUAAUACGUGAUUGUUUUGACGUUACCGACAGAAUAAGCACCGGCUAACUCUGUGCCAGCAGCCGCGGUAAUACAGAGGGUGCAAGCGUUAAUCGGAAUUACUGGGCGUAAAGCGCGCGUAGGUGGUUUGUUAAGUUGGAUGUGAAAUCCCCGGGCUCAACCUGGGAACUGCAUUCAAAACUGACUGACUAGAGUAUGGUAGAGGGUGGUGGAAUUUCCUGUGUAGCGGUGAAAUGCGUAGA